rnacentral:rRNA from 1 species
UACGUAGGGUGCAAGCGUUGUCCGGAAUUAUUGGGCGUAAAGAGCUCGUAGGCGGCUUGUCGCGUCGGCUGUGAAAACCUGGGGCUCAACCCCGGGCCUGCAGCCGAUACGGGCAGCUAGAAUUCGGUAGGGAGACUGGAAUCCUGGUGUAGCGGUGAAUGCGCAGAUAUCAGGAGGAACACCGGUGGCGAAGGCGGGUCUCUGGGCCGAAUUGACGCUGAGGAGCGAAAGCGUGGGAGCAACAGG